rnacentral:rRNA from 2 species
GUUUCAUUUAAAUUUAUAAUAGAAUUUUAUUUUUUAGUUAAAAAGCUAAAAUAAUUUUAAAAGACGAGAAGACCCUAUAAAUCUUUAUUUUUUUUUUAAUAUUUAUUUAUUUAAGAUAAAUUUUUAAAAAAUUAAAAAAAAAAUUUUAUUGGGGUGAUAUUAAAAUUUAACUAACUUUUAAUUUUUAAUUUCAUUAAUUAAUGUUUGUAUGAUCCGUUAUUUAACGAUUAAAAAAUUAAGUUACUUUAGGGAUAACAGCGUAAUUUUUUUGGAGAGUUCAUAUCGAUAAGAAAGUUUGCGACCUCGAUGUUGGAUUAAGAUUCAUAUUUAAGUGCAGAAGUUUAAAUAUUAAGUCUGUUCGACUUUAAAAUCUUACAUGAUCUGAGUUCAAACCGGUGUAAGCCAGGUUGGUUUCUAUCUUUAAAUUAAUAAAAUAUUUUAGUACGAAAGGAAUAAAUAUUUUAAUUUAUAAAUUAUUAUUAUUAUGAAU